UACAGAGGUCCCGAGCGUUGUUCGGAUUCAUUGGGCGUAAAGGGUGCGUAGGCGGUCUGCUAAGUUUGAUGUGAAAUCCCGGGGCUCAACCCUGGAAUGGCAUUGAAUACUGGUGGACUAGAGUACUGGAGAGGAAACUGGAAUUUACGGUGUAGCAGUGAAAUGCGUAGAGAUCGUAAGGAAGACCAGUGGCGAAGGCGAGUUUCUGGACAGUAACUGACGCUGAGGCACGAAAGGCCCAGGGGAGGCAAAACGGGGA
rnacentral:rRNA from 1 species